rnacentral:rRNA from 1 species
AAGGGCACCACAAGAACGCGUGGAGCAUGUGGCUUAAUUUGACUCAACGCGGGGAAUCUUACCGGGUCCGGACACACUGAGGAUUGACAGGCGCAAGGAGCUUUGGCUCUGUAAAUUUGCUAGUCCUUUCAUGAUUGUGUGAUAGGUGGUGCAUGGCCGUUCUUAGUUCGUGGAAUAAUCUGUCUGCUUAAUUGCGUUUUUUCAAUUGUGUCUUGAAUCCCAACAAACCUGUGUUUGGUUGUGCCUCGUGUACGCUAACCGGGUGGGUGAACAAGGCCUUCUGAAACGAACGAGACCCCAACCCUUCUUUUUCAAUGUCAUACAACGAAUUGUUGUUAUCGCUUUGUCGCUUGGUUGUGAGUUGACGUUGUCUUUCGGGGCGGCGUCCUCUUACGCCGUUUGGCAUUCACGACGUUGUUAACAGAAGGGGACUGUUACAUCCAAUGUAAAGGAAGGUUGGGGCAAUAACAGGUCUGUGAUGCCCUUAGAUGUUCCGGGCUGCACACGUGCUACAAUGAUCUAUGCACUAAGCAUCUUUUAGUUCCGUAAUGUGCACCCUCUUUCGAGGUGUUGACACAUAUGCGGCAUGCCUACUUCGAGAGCUAGUAGGUAAUCAUUUGGUAAUAUAGAUUUCCUUUGCAUUUGUCGGCAUUGGCUUCUUUCGAGAUCCAGUGUCGCAUGUUUUCGAAUUAUGACUUCUUAGUGGGGACAGACCAUUGUUAAUUGUUGGUCUCGCUUUAACUAGGAAUGCCUUGUACAGGUGGUUCAACAGACCACCUGGAAUACGUCCCUGCCCUUUGUACACACCGCCCGUCA